rnacentral:rRNA from 2 species
GUUUCCGUAGGUGAACCUGCUGCUGGAUCAUUACA